GUGCUCGCUUUGGCAGCACAUAUACUAAAAUUGGAAUGCUACAGAGAAGAUUAGCAUAGCCCUUGAGCAAGGAUGAUACCCCAAUUUGUGAAGCGUUCCAUAUUUUU